UUACGUUGUCCUGAGUUUGAUUAAAAAUGUGAUCUAUUUUAAAUGUUAGUGGUUACUUACUACAAUGAGAAUUAUUUAGAGAUUUUUCACAAGAAUUCACAUUUUCACACAGGAAAAUGUGAAUUCUUGAAGGUUCACUCCUCAACUUUUGACAUUUACCCUUUUAAUGAUGCAUCUGAGAAUAGAAUGUAAUAGAUGUGACCUUGUCUACAGGUCAGUUUUUCAGGACCAGGACAAGAUCCCAGUCGUAUUUGAUGGUGAGCUAUUAACGCUGAAGAAAAAGGCACAGAUAAGGAGACACAGUCAAGCGAACGUUGUCUGGCUGUUCCAACACCACCCUGCACAAGGCAAUCCAGAAUAUUUUCGUGGGUCGUUCCUGCGUAUCUUCAAGAAACUCUCUAAGACUCAGCUCUUCAGAGUGCACCUCCUGUCCUCCUCUACCUCUGACCCUCGUCUGUCUCCUUCAGCACUUGUUUCCCAACUACUGGUCUCCUUUCAAGAGUUCCUCCAUGUGACCUGAUUGGUAAUCCUCCUCUGUAGGUCGCUUCUGAUAAAAGCGUCCGCUAAAUGCAUAAACAUAAACGUAAAUGUGAUUGGAAACCUUACCCAAAAAUUAUAGUUGAGAUUUUAAAUACAACAAAAAACUUUUUUUAUUUGUAAUUUUAUAUAUAUAUGUGUGUGUGUGUGUGUGUUUUUAUUUGAUAGUGCACAGUCUAAACUGUAUAACAGCACAUGAACCAGUAAUAAAUGUCCUGUAGUCUGUCCACAGCUCACUGUUCAACAUCACACAGAUAGAUUUAUCAAAGACAAACACAGUAUAAUUCCCAGGUUAGACUCCUGGUUCCUAGGAGCUCACAAUAUUUACAAGAUAAACAUCAGUAAUAUAAUAGACAACAGACAGUGGAAUAAACAUGUUACUGUUGGGUAUAAACUAUUUAUUACUACAAAGGUCAAAGUCAAACUAAAGGUGAUCGGUCAGUCCUUUUACCCCCGGCUGGAGUUAUUCAGUAGACCAGGCAGCGUCAGCAGAACAACCUGGAGAUUGUAAACCAAACUAUCAAAGAUAUUAAAAAGAAAAUCCCAUUCACGGGCCUCUUCUCUUGAAAUUACUCUCAGCAGAAUGUAAAUAUUUAGAUUGGCGCAGAAGUUUUCAUCCCAGCUGCUGUGCAGUUGAUGAGUUUCUCUGGAUGUAGGCAGGAAAAGUUUGGGUUUGAAGGAGUGGGAGGGGAGAGGAAUUUGAGCUGUGUGUAGCUGGUGUACGGCCACAGUGAUCCCACUGUGGCACGAUAACAAAUCUGUGAGGAAGAGACGCCGUGGUCGGCCGAUUCCAGGCCUUGAUAUUCAGGAGGAAAAAAGGCACAAACAGACGUUUCUCCAUUGUUUUAACAGGAUAUAAACUGUUUAUGGUGAGAGUAGAACAUGAUCAUUUAGUCAAAGUGCUCACUUUGGAAUUCCCUCCUAUUGUAUCUUUGCUCAUGUUUUCCCCUGGAGAUUGAUAAAAUAAUGUUAAAUUGUUAAAUUAUUAAAUGUAUCAUGAGUAGUCAUCAGUCGAGAUUUAACUAGGCAGGGUUUUAGAAAUUAGGCUGUAGUAUUUAGUAGUAUUUAUUUCUGUUUAGUUUUUAUCUUCAAAAUACAAUUACAAUUACGUUUAUAGCAUUGGUUUGCCAAGCAGUAAAAAAAUAAGGCUGGAUAGGUUAGAAAAUAAGCUGCCACAAUCCUCCGGACCCUAACCCUUCCUCCUCCUCUUCUUCCUCCUCCUCCCCCUCCAUCCAGCCUCCACCCAUUCUUCUCCUCCUCACAGGUCAGAACAGGGUCACCUCACAGAAAACAGGCCCCCCCUCCGUCUCCUUUUCAUAACAAAUCUUUCCAAACACAAGAGCACUCAUGUCGGAGGGAUCUCAGAGUCGGAGUUUUUUUUUUUCUUUUUUUAACACGGCAACAGAAUAAUGAAAAUGCAUGUGAGGAUUUUCUUUGUGCUGUGUGCGAGGACUCGGCCGUUUAUUGUCGUUUAAACCUGUCCUGACUAGUGCUUAUAUCAAGAGUUUUACUUUAUUUGUCAAAAGUUAAAGUGAGAGAUGACUUUUCCCUGUUGUAUUAUAGUUUUUAUUUUUAGAUUUUUAAAAUCCAGUUUUGUCCGAUUAGGAAAAUUACAGGAACAGCUGCUUGUAUCAAGUAUUAAUAUCAAAUCUGUAUCAAAAAUAAAAUUGCUAAAAAAAA